GGGAAUAUUGCACAAUGGGCGGAAGCCUGAUGCAGCAACGCCGCGUGCGGGAUGACGGCCUUCGGGUUGUAAACCGCUUUCGCCUGUGACGAAGCGUGAGUGACGGUAAUGGGUAAAGAAGCACCGGCUAACUACGUGCCAGCAGCCGCGGUGAUACGUAGGGUGCGAGCGUUGUCCGGAUUUAUUGGGCGUAAAGGGCUCGUAGGUGGUUGAUCGCGUCGGAAGUGUAAUCUUGGGGCUUAACCCUGAGCGUGCUUUCGAUACGGGUUGACUUGAGGAAGGUAGGGGAGAAUGGAAUUCCUGGUGGAGCGGUGGAAUGCGCAGAUAUCAGGAGGAACACCAGUGGCGAAGGCGGUUCUCUGGGCCUUUCCUGACGCUGAGGAGCGAAAGCGUGGGGAGCGAACAGGC
rnacentral:rRNA from 1 species